rnacentral:rRNA from 1 species
UACGGGGGGGGGCAAGCGUUGUUCGGAAUUACUGGGCGUAAAGGGCUCGUAGGCGGCCAACUAAGUCAGACGUGAAAUCCCUCGGCUUAACCGGGGAACUGCGUCUGAUACUGGAUGGCUAGAGGUUGGGAGAGGGAUGCGGAAUUCCAGGUGUAGCGGUGAAAUGCGUAGAUAUCUGGAGGAACACCGGUGGCGAAGGCGGCUCUCUGGACCACAACUGACGCUGAGGCGCGAAAGCUAGGGGAGCAAACAGG